UAGGGAAUCUUCCACAAUGGACGAAAGUCUGAUGGAGCAACGCCGCGUGAGUGAAGAAGGGUUUCGGCUCGUAAAACUCUGUUGUUAAAGAAGAACAUAUCUGAGAGUAACUGUUCAGGUAUUGACGGUAUUUAACCAGAAAGCCACGGCUAACAACGUGCCAG
rnacentral:rRNA from 1 species